AAAAAGCAAGACCCGAGUCCACUCGGGUCAGCAUGCAAGAUAACUGACUUAGUUGUGAUACCAAGGUAAUCUCAUCAAAAAAAUUGAAUAAAACUAUGAAGAUUAAUUACCAAAUAACCCAAUGUUGAAGGCGAUAUAACCCGAAUUAUUUUAAAAAUCAAUGCAAAAUACAAUAGAAAGCAAAUAAAAAAAUAACAAAGCUCAAUCCUCAAUUAAAUAAACGUUGAAUGAUGAACCUGAAAAAAAAACUUCAAAAAAGAUAAAAAAAA
rnacentral:lncRNA from 1 species